rnacentral:rRNA from 1 species
GACGAACGCUGGCGGCGUGCUUAACACAUGCAAGUCGAACGGAAAGGCCCUGCGGUUGUGGGGUGCUCGAGUGGCGAACGGGUGAGUAACACGUGAGUAACCUGCCCGUGACUUUGGGAUAACUUCAGGAAACUGGGGCUAAUACCGGAUAGGAGCUCCUGCUGCAUGGUGGGGGGUGGAAAGUUUCGGCGGUUGGGGAUGGACUCGCGGCUUAUCAGCUUGUUGGUGGGGUAGUGGCUUACCAUGGCUUUGACGGGUAGCCGGCCUGAGAGGGUGACCGGCCCCGUUGGGACUGGGCUACGGCACAGCCUCCUACGGGAGGCAGCGGUGGAGAAUAUUGCACAAUGGGCGGAAGCCUGAUGCAGCACCGCCGCGUGCGGGAUGACGGCCUUCGGGUUGUAAACCGCUUUCCCCUGUGCCGAAGCGUGAGUGACGGUACUGGGUAAAGAAGCCCCGGCUAACUACGUG